CAGUAAACAAGAAACAUCUGUGAAACAUUUCAAUUUUAACAUACAAUGAAUUAAAUGAAACAUUUUACAACUACGUUUCAUAUACGUGACAGAUACGAUUGUUACGAAACGUAUCUAAAGAUAUGUAUCAAAUACAUUUCAGUAGGAAUAUUUAUGAAAUAUCAUUAAAAUAUGUAGCAGAAACAUUUCAUUUGAAACAUUUCUCUACAAAUGUGUCUGAAACAUGUCUGAAUAUCUUCAUCAGCGCCUGUGAACGUAUGCGCAUGUUCCAGGACGCGGUGACUCAUCAGCGUCUUGUCACGACUUGUUCUAUUGUGUGUUUUGUUCUGUUCAGUUCUGUUCUCAGUUCCUUCGAAUCGUUUUCUAUAUAUCUGUUCUGUGGCUCGAAUAUUGGUUUAGAAUGGCGCAGUGGCAGUUAGGAAGAGCUUCCAUUUAACUGAUAAAGAAUAUGAAGUGGUAGUAAGCAAUUGGUUACGACAAGCGAAUUUACGUUAUAAUAGGCGAAAUAAGGAAACUGCAGAUGAGAUAAUAAAGAAUAUUGUUAUUUUCUUUUAGUAUUCUUUCUUUCGUUUACUCGUCGCAAUACGGAAAACGUAGUGCAAGAAUCGCAUCUCAAAUAUGAAACAAAUUUAAAAAUUUUGUGUUGCCAUUUCUCCAUAUAUGUAUAUUUUAUGUAGUUUUGUACUUUUAUGUUUUAGUUUUAUGUAGGUUAUUUAAAUUUUAGUUAAAUUUCUUAGUCUUGAACAAUCAUAAAAAGAUGAUGAAAGAGAUCCCCAGCUUCUUCAGACUACAAGUAAAGAAGACCUAUUUAUUUUGUAAAAGUCUUAUUGUUAUAAGUGAGACCACAUGUUGUAAAAUUCUUUUUAUCAAGAAAAAUAAACAAUUCCACGACUGUAGUACAUCGUUUGUGGUACAUUACUUGUUUUAUUGUAUUAUCUGACAUGUAAAUUGUCAUGUAACUGUUUUUGUAAGUUAUUUUGUAAUACUGAUAGUUUCUCUCCAUAAAAAGAAUUUUACAACAUGUGAUAUCUCCAAUAACUAA
rnacentral:lncRNA from 1 species